AUUGAACGCUGGCGGCAUGCUUUACACAUGCCAGUCGAACGGCAGCGCGGGCUUCGGCCUGGCGGCGAGUGGCGAACGGGUGAGUAAUACAUCGGAACGUGCCCAGUAGUGGGGGAUAGCUCGGCGAAAGCCGGAUUAAUACCGCAUACGACCUGAGGGUGAAAGCGGGGGAUCUUCGGACCUCGCGCUAUUGGAGCGGCCGAUGGCAGAUUAGCUAGUUGGUGGGGUAAAGGCCUACCAAGGCGACGAUCUGUAGCUGGUCUGAGAGGACGACCAGCCACACAGGGACUGAGACACGGCCCAGACUCCUACGGGAGGCAGCAGUGGGGAAUUUUGGACAAUGGGCGAAAGCCUGAUCCAGCAAUGCCGCGUGUGUGAUGAAGGCCUUCGGGUUGUAAAGCACUUUUGGCGGGAACGAAAAGGACUGUGCCAAUACCACGGUUCGAUGACGGUACCCGCAGAAUAAGCACCGGCUAACUACGUG
rnacentral:rRNA from 1 species